rnacentral:rRNA from 1 species
CCUACGGGAGGCAGCAGUGGGGGAUAUUGCACAAUGGGGGAAACCCUGAUGCAGCGACGCCGCGUGGGUGAAGGAGUGAUUCGUUGUGUAAAGCUCUAUCAGCAGGGAAGAAAAUGACGGUACCUGAGUAAGAAGCCCCGGCUAACUACGUGCCAGCAGCCGCGGUAAUACGUAGGGGGCAAGCGUUAUCCGGAUUUACUGGGUGUAAAGGGGGCGUAGACGGCAGUGCAAGUCAGGAGUGAAAGGCGGGGGCGCAACCCCCGGACUGCUCUGGAAACUGGACGGCUGGAGUGCAGGAGAGGUAAGUGGAAUUCCUAGUGUAGCGGUGAAAUGCGUAGAUAUUAGGAGGAACACCAGUGGCGAAGGCGGCUUACUGGACUGUAACUGACGUUGAGGCUCGAAAGCGUGGGGAGCAAACAGGAUUAGAUACCCGUGUAGUC